rnacentral:rRNA from 1 species
CAGAGGGUGCGAGCGUUAAUCGGAUUUACUGGGCGUAAAGCGCGCGUAGGUGGUUAAUUAAGUCAAAUGUGAAAUCCCCGAGCUUAACUUGGGAAUUGCAUUCGAUACUGGUUAGCUAGAGUAUGGGAGAGGAUGGUAGAAUUCCAGGUGUAGCGGUGAAAUGCGUAGAGAUCUGGAGGAAUACCGAUGGCGAAGGCAGCCAUCUGGCCUAAUACUGACACUGAGGUGCGAAAGCAUGGGAGCAAACAGGAUU